rnacentral:rRNA from 1 species
CGGAGAUGUAAGUGCAGUAAUGUAUUGAGUCGACCGAUACUAAUAGGCCGAGGACUUGACCUAAUAUA